UACGGAGGGAGCUAGCGUUGUUCGGAUAUACUGGGCGUAAAGCGCACGUAGGCGGCGCCGUAAGUCAGGGGUGAAAUCCUGGAGCUCAACUCCAGAACUGCCUUUGAUACUGAGGAGCUCGAGUCCGGGAGAGGUGAGUGGAACUCCGAGUGUAGAGGUGAAAUUCGUAGAUAUUCGGAAGAACACCAGUGGCGAAGGCGGCUCACUGGCCCGGUACUGACGCUGAGGUGCGAAAGCGUGGGGAGCAAACAGG
rnacentral:rRNA from 1 species